ACCCUAUUAUUAAGAAAAAUUAUAUUGUUAGUAUAUAAAUUGUAUGAAAACAAAAAAUUAUGGCGGUAUUUUAAGCUUUUCAGAGGAAUUUGCUCUUUAAUGGAUAAAACACCUAAAUCUUACUAAAUUUAGUUAAGCAGUUUGUAUACCACUAUUUAAGUAAUAAUUUGCUAUUAUUACUAAAAUUUAUAUUAAUUAAAAAAAGUUAAGUCAAGGUGCAGCAUAAAUUUUAGUAUGAAGUGAAUUACAUUUCUUUUAAGAAAAAUUUGUUGAAAAUAAAAUUUAGGAUUUGAAAGUAAAAUUUUAAUAGAAGGAAAAUUUGAAUUAAGCUCUAAAAUAUGUACACAUCGCC
rnacentral:rRNA from 1 species